UACGUAGGGGGCAAGCGUUGUUCGGAAUUACUGGGCGUAAAGGGCGCGUAGGCGGUCAGACCAAGUCGAGUGUGAAAUUCCAGGGCUUAACUCUGGCGCGCUCGCUCGAUACUGGUCGGCUAGAGUGUGGAAGAGGAUGCUGGAAUUCCCGGUGUAGCGGUGAAAUGCGUAGAUAUCGGAAGGAACACCUAUGGCGAAGGCAGCUCGCUGGGACGUUACUGACGCUGAGACGCGAAAGCGUGGGGAGCAAACAGG
rnacentral:rRNA from 1 species